rnacentral:rRNA from 1 species
AGAGUUUGAUCAUGGCUCAGGACGAACGCUGGCGGCGCGCCUAAAACAUGCAAGUCGAACGAGAAGCCCGGGCUUGCCCGGGUGGACAGUGGCGAACGGGUGAGUAACACGUGAGGAACCUGCCCCGAAGACCGGGACAACACCGGGAAACCGGUGCUAAUACCGGAUGCCCUCAUCGGACCGCAUGAUCCGGUGAGGAAAUGGAUUCCGCUUCGGGAUGGCCUCGCGGCCUAUCAGCUUGUUGGUGGGGUAACGGCCCACCAAGGCGACGACGGGUAGCUGGUCUGAGAGGAUGUCCAGCCACACUGGGACUGAGACACGGCCCAGACUCCUACGGGAGGCAGCAGUUAGGAAUCUUGCGCAAUGGACGAAAGUCUGACGCAGCGACGCCGCGUGCGGGAUGAAUGCCUUCGGGUUGUAAACCGCUUUCAGCAGGGACGAAAUUGACGGUACCUGCAGAAGAAGCCCCGGCCAACUACGUGCCAGCAGCCGCGGUAAUACGUAGGGGGCGAGCGUUGUCCGGAUUUAUUGGGCGUAAAGAGCUCGUAGGCGGUUCGGCAAGUCGGAUGUGAAAUCUCCAGGCUCAACCUGGAGGGGUCAUUCGAAACUGCCGUGACUAGAGUUCGGUAGAGGAGUGUGGAAUUCCUGGUGGAGCGGUGAAAUGCGCAGAUAUCAGGAGGAACACCCGUAGCGAAGGCGGCACUCUGGGCCGAUACUGACGCUGAGGAGCGAAAGCGUGGGGAGCGAACAGGAUUAGAUACCCUAGUAGUCC